rnacentral:rRNA from 1 species
GGGUCAGUAGGUUGGUCGUGCCACCGGUACGUACUGGUCUCACUGAUACCUCCUUCCUGAAGAACCGUAAUGCCAUUAAUUUGGUGUUGCGGGGAAACAGGACAGUUACUUUGAAAAAAUGAGAGUGUUUAAAGCAAGCUAACGCUUGAAUACAUUAGCAUGGAAUAAUGAAAUAGGACGAUCGAUCCUAUUUUGUUGGUUUCUAGGAUUGACGUA